rnacentral:rRNA from 1 species
GAUGAACGCUAGCGGCAGGCCUAACACAUGCAAGUCGAGGGGUAGAGUUAGCUUGCUAACUUGAGACCGGCGCACGGGUGCGUAACGCGUAUGCAAUCUGCCUUGUACUGAGGGAUAGCCCAGAGAAAUUUGGAUUAAUACCUCAUAGUAUUAUUGAAUGGCAUCAUUUGAUAAUUAAAGUUCCAACGGUACAAGAUGAGCAUGCGUCCCAUUAGUUAGUUGGUAAGGUAACGGCUUACCAAGACGAUGAUGGGUAGGGGUCCUGAGAGGGAGAUCCCCCACACUGGUACUGAGACACGGACCAGACUCCUACGGGAGGCAGCAGUGAGGAAUAUUGGUCAAUGGGCGCAAGCCUGAACCAGCCAUGCCGCGUGCAGGAUGAAGCAUCUAUGGUGUGUAAACUGCUUUUAUACGGGAAGAAACACUCCUACGUGUAGGAACUUGACGGUACCGUAAGAAUAAGGAUCGGCUAACUCCGUGCCAGCAGCCGCCGUAAGAC